UAUCUUCAAAGCUUCAUCAUAUGUAGCAUCUGAUUCGGAGCAACGAGGGUUGCCUGAAGAUGAAUUAGAAGAUCGUAGGAGUUUUAUCUUUGACCGCUGGCUUUUUCUCUUUCUCAUCAUGGUGCCGCUUAAGGAUGAUCCAAAAAAGGUUCUUUCGAUGUUCCAUCGCUUGCGUAGCGCUCAAAUUUUUGUCGUGUCAAGCG
rnacentral:ribozyme from 1 species